GUUGGUUGGUUGGUUGUUUUGAGUUAGUUUGCAUCCUGCAGUAGUAAGGAAAUGUUUGUUUUCAUACUUGUCGUGUGAUGGCUUGCUCUUUUGUUAUAUUAUUAGGCAGGACCUUUGGGAUAGGAUAUGUUUGCGGGAUGUUCCUCUUGUCCCUGCACUUAAAUAUCUUGUCUGGUCUUAUUUUAACGAUGGCCAUAAUAGUUUUUUUUAUUGGUUGAAAUGAUGCAGAGAUACCCACCGCUACAAUUCAAAUAUGCAGUUUGUUUUCCAGGACACACAGCCAUCAGCCUAGCUGGUUUGUGUCAUGGUAAAAAUCAACCUAUACAUUUUUAUGUGUAAUAUAUACAAAACAAAAAAAAAUAAGCUCUACUAAUGCUAAUAUUGUUUCUACUGACUCCUAGAUUGUAGUGAAGAUUCUCAAGCCCUGCAUUACU